rnacentral:rRNA from 1 species
AGUGAACGCUGGCGGCAGGCCUAACACAUGCAAGUCGAACGGCCGCACAGUAAGCGCUUGCUCUUACGGGUGGCGAGUGGCGGACGGGUGAGGCAUACAUCGGCUUCUUCUUCUUCGUGGGGGAUAUCGUAGGGCAACUUACGCUACUACCUCAUAUGACCUACGGGUGAAAGCAGGGGAUCUUCGGACCUUUCGCGAUAGUAUUAGCCGAAGCCGGAUUACCUAGUUGGCGAGGUAAAGGCCCACCAAGGCAACGCUCCGUAGCUGGUCCGAGAGGGUGAUCAGCCACACUGGAACUGAGACACGGUCCAGACUCCUACGGGAGGCAGCAGUGGGGAAUAUUGGGCAAUGGGCGAAAGCCUGAUCCAGCCAUACCGCGUGGGUGAAGAAGGCCUUCGGGUUGUAAAGCCCUUUUGUUGGGAAAGAAAAGCAGCAGGUUAAUACCCCGCUGUUCUGACGGUACCCAAAGAAUAAGCACCGGCUAACUUCGUG